rnacentral:rRNA from 2 species
UUAGGAAUUUUGGGCAAUGGGCGAAAGCCUGACCCAGCAACGCCGCGUGGGUGAAGAAGGUCUUCGGAUCGUAAAGCCCUUUUCUGUGGGAAGAGGAAGGACGGUACCGCAGGAAUAAGCAUCGGCUAACUACGUGCCAGCAGCCGCGGUAAUACGUAGGAUGCGAGCGUUGUCCGGAAUUAUUGGGCGUAAAGAGCGCGCAGGUGGUUAGAUAAGUUGGGUGUGAAAGACCCUGGCUCAACUAGGGGAGGUCAUCCAAAACUAUCUAACUUGAGGGCAGCAGAGGAAAGUGGAAUUCCCGGUGUAGUGGUGAAAUGCGUAGAUAUCGGGAGGAACACCAGUGGCGAAGGCGGCUUUCUGGGCUGUCACUGACGCUGAGGCGCGAAAGCGUGGGUAGCGAACCGA